ACGAUUUUUGGACAUUAAAUUAACUGGCGACAAUAACAUCACUACUAGAAAAAUGUAUCAGGUGAGCCAGAUGUUUCUAAUUGUUUUGUUUUGGAUGUUUAUAGUUUGUUAUUGAGAAGGAGAGAAGAGGAGAUUAUGGAAGAGGAGAGGUCAAGCUCGGGCAGCCUUGGGGGAGUUUGUUGAGGCUAUUGAAGAUUUGACUAAGGCUUUAGAGUUUGAAACCAACUCAGCAGAUAUUUUACAUGAGAGAGGGGAUAUUGAGUCCAUGCCUUUUAUUGAAGCACUGCUGGAACCGUAUUUAUGCAGUUUAAUUUGUUAAUUUCAUGGUUUUGAUGGUUUUCUUUUUUUCUUUUUUCUUUUAAAAUUGAAUUUCAUACUUUUGCAUUUUAAGUGGUUUAAGUUCAUGCAAUAUCCUAAACCUUUUCCUUUGAAUUUAUCCUAAAGUGUUUGGGUCUUCAAACUAAUUCCUUUAUCAUUUACAGUGUUGCAGCAGAGCCUAAUUUGAAGGAGUCGACUGCAAGGAAAAAAAUUUAUGACAGAUGUGAUGAAACUGUUAGAAUUCCAAUGGUGGGAAAAUACACAGGCCUUUCAGAUGCAUAUCUUUCUGUUCUGAAGGAUCCUGAGGCAUAUAAAGUUGCAUGGAAUAUUUUAAAGG